rnacentral:tRNA from 1 species
UAGAGGUAUAUAUAUAUUGGCUGCUAACUGAUAAUUUAGCGGUUUUCCGUUUAUCUCUUG